AGGGUAAUAGAGGAGCUUGGUCGUCCUCGCCUGCCUUGGACGCAGGAGAUCCCCGGUUCAAAUCCGGGUUACCCUA
rnacentral:tRNA from 1 species